rnacentral:RNase_P_RNA from 1 species
UGGGGAGGAAGUGCAUCAUCGGGGCUACCAUGAGCUGAAUGAUCUCAGCCCCUGGGAAAGUCUGAGAAUGGGGCCUCCCUCAGCCCUAACCGGGCUCUCUCUGAGUAGGGGUGUGACUUCCCAGAAAGCAGGGCUCCAUGCAUUGGCAGACUGGGCAGGAGAAGCCCCGAGUAGGCAUAUGCCGUCCUCACUGGAGCUUGGAACAGACUCAUGGCCAGCAGUGCGAGUUCAAUGGCUGAGGCGAGGCACCUCAAGGGCCUCAAAACCCAAUUUGCUCCUU